AGAACGAACGCUGGCGGCAUGCCUAACACAUGCAAGUCGAACGAGACCUUCGGGUCUAGUGGCGCACGGGUGCGUAACGCGUGGGAAUCUGCCCUUGGGUUCGGGAUAACAGUUGGAAACGACUGCUAAUACCGGAUGAUGUCUUCGGACCAAAGAUUUAUCGCCCAAGGAUGAGCCCGCGUAGGAUUAGCUUGUUGGUGAGGUAAGAGCUCACCAAGGCGACGAUCCUUAGCUGGUCUGAGAGGAUGAUCAGCCACACUGGGACUGAGACACGGCCCAGACUCCUACGGGAGGCAGCAGUGGGGAAUAUUGGACAAUGGGCGAAAGCCUGAUCCAGCAAUGCCGCGUGAGUGAUGAAGGCCUUAGGUUGUAAGCUCUUUUACCCGGGAUGAUAAUGACAGUACCGGAGAAGUAAGCCCCGGACUAACUCCGCGCCAGCAGCCGC
rnacentral:rRNA from 1 species